GAUGAACGCUGGCGGCGUGCCUAAUACAUGCAAGUCGAGCGAACGGACGAGAAGCUUGCUCCUCUGACGUUAGCGGCGGACGGGUGAGUAACACGUGGAUAACCUACCUAUAAGACUGGGAUAACUUCGGGAAACCGGAGCUAAUACCGGAUAAUAUUUUGAACCGCAUGGUUCAAAAGUGAAAGACGGUCUUGCUGUCACUUAUAGAUGGAUCCGCGCUGCAUUAGCUAGUUGGUAAGGUAACGGCUUACCAAGGCAACGAUGCGUAGCCGACCUGAGAGGGUGAUCGGCCACACUGGAACUGAGACACGGUCCAGACUCCUACGGGAGGCAGCAGUAGGGAAUCUUCCGCAAUGGGCGAAAGCCUGACGGAGCAACGCCGCGUGAGUGAUGAAGGUCUUCGGAUCGUAAAACUCUGUUAUUAGGGAAGAACAAAUGUGUAAGUAACUAUGCACGUCUUGACGGUACCUAAUCAGAAAGCCACGGCUAACUACGUG
rnacentral:rRNA from 1 species